GUGUCAGCAGCCGCGGUAAUACGGAGGGCGCGAGCGUUGUUCGGAAUCAUUGGGCGUAAAGCGCGUGUAGGCGGCUGGGCAAGUCGGAUGUGAAAGCCCGGGGCUCAACCCCGGAAUUGCAUUCGAAACUGCCUGGCUCGAGUCUCGGAGAGGAGGGCGGAAUUCCCGGUGUAGAGGUGAAAUUCGUAGAUAUCGGGAGGAACACCAGUGGCGAAGGCGGCCCUCUGGACGAUGACUGACGCUGAGAUGCGAAAGCGUGGGGAGCAAACAGGAUUAGAUACCCUGGUAGUCC
rnacentral:rRNA from 1 species